rnacentral:lncRNA from 1 species
GCAGUGGUGCGCGCUAAUAGCGUUUCAAUCGGUGACGUCACCCGCUCUGAGACUUGAAGUAGGGUUGCUCCUUGCGUUGCAAGGGCUGCGGCUUUUGUGGCGCGAUGGGUAACGAUGCUUCGUGGGGUGUCAGUUGUUGAUGUGUGUAAGGGUCCCUGGUUCGAGCCCAGGUUGGGGCGAAGAGAGGGACGGAACCUACACUGUUACACAAAUGCAAGAUCUGCCAUCCCUGCUUCAUAAGCAUGUGGCUUCUGAGAUGCCUGCUGGACACAUUAAAGAUCUUCAAGCGUUGGAGAUGAGGAUAAUGGUGAAACUGGAGAUGAUCCGUACAGAGUUCAGGACUGCUCUGAACCAAGUUAUGGAGGGCCAUAGAGGCCCGGCAGACAAAGGAGUCAGAGUCCUUGAGACAACUUGAAAUGCUGCAAAACCCUGCAGAAUAAAAUGAGGAACUGAAGGAUAUCUGUGAAACACUUAAAGACUCCCACUAUCGAAAGAAAAUUUAAAAUGUAUCCAUUUGUAAAAAAAAUGUCAUCUAUAUCACGUAUUUGAACAGCAAUUGACAAAAACAAGUUAGCUGUUUAUCAAGAGCCACUUGAAUGCUACCAGAUUUGAGAGAAGAUUGCAACCUGCAAUGUCAUUGAAUCCAAAUAUCUUAAAAGUCUAGUGUAGCCUGAAUUUAAGCUUAAGAAGACAAUUAGUGAGGCCCAUCGCAGGAGAUGAAAAGCAGAUACAGGGAGUGAACCAUUUAAUACAGACGGACAUGCAACGUAACAGGGACAGUGUCUGGCCAUAGACACGACACGACAAACAAUGCUACUACAGGGAACAACAGAGGAGCAGACAUAUAUGCAGGGGCAAUCAACAAAGUGAGGGAGUCCAGGUGAGUCCAAUGAGUGCAGCUGCGCGUAAUGAUGGUAACAGGUGCUUAUGAUGAUGGGUAGCCUGGCGCCUUUGAGCGCCAGGGAGGGGGAGCGGGAGCGGGAGCAAGCGUGGCACAAUAAGAUCACAGCCUCUGCAACUCAAACAAGCCAACAGAAGAGCAACAAGCAUAAUGACACUAACUCAAGACCAAAUGGGCAACCUGAAUGAGGAACCCCAACUCAACAAGAAAGGACACACAGCCAUCUUCUUCCUUUGUUCGCGUCCAUGCGGCCUGAACCAUCAAGAAGCCACAACAGACGUUGAUCACAGACAGAUUAGAACAUAAUUUAAUGUUCAGGAUCUCCAGGUCUUCAAUUCUUGUCUUUCAU